UACGUAGGGUGCGAGCGUUAAUCGGAAUUACUGGGCGUAAAGCGUGCGCAGGCGGUUUGCUAAGACCGAUGUGAAAUCCCCGGGCUUAACCUGGGAACUGCAUUGGUGACUGGCAGGCUAGAGUGUGGCAGAGGGGGGUAGAAUUCCACGUGUAGCAGUGAAAUGCGUAGAUAUGUGGAGGAAUACCGAUGGCGAAGGCAGCCCCCUGGGAUAACACUGACGCUCAUGCACGAAAGCGUGGGGAGCAAACAGG
rnacentral:rRNA from 1 species